AAUGCACAAACUGCAAGUCACUUUGGAUAAGAGUGUCUGCUAAAUGACUAAAA
rfam:Salmo salar isolate Sally breed double haploid chromosome ssa13, whole genome shotgun sequence.